rnacentral:rRNA from 1 species
CAGCAGUGGGGAAUUUUGCGCAAUGGGGGAAACCCUGACGCAGCAACGCCGCGUGAGUGAUGAAGGCUUUCGGGUCGUAAAGCUCUGUCUAGAGGGAAGAAAUGAUAAUCGGUUAAUACCCGGUUUUCUUGACGGUACCUCUGAAGGAAGCACCGGCUAACUCCGUGCCAGCAGCCGCGGUAAUACGGAGGGUGCAAGCGUUGUUCGGAUUUAUUGGGCGUAAAGCGCGUGUAGGCGGUUUGUUAAGUCUGAUGUGAAAGCCCUGGGCUCAACCUGGGAAGUGCAUUGGAAACUGGCAGACUUGAAUACGGGAGAGGGUAGUGGAAUUCCUAGUGUAGGAGUGAAAUCCGUAGAUAUUAGGAGGAACACCGGUGGCGAAGGCGGCUACCUGGACCGAUAUUGACGCUGAGACGCG